UACGUAGGAGGCGAGCGUUGUCCGGAUUUACUGGGCGUAAAGCGCGUGUAGGCGGUUCGAUUAGUCUGCUGUGAAAGCUCGAGGCUUAACCUCUAGACGUCGAUGGAAACCGUCUGGCUAGAGUCCGGAAGAGGAGAAUGGAAUUCCUGGUGUAGCGGUGAAAUGCGCAGAUAUCAGGAAGAACACCCGUGGCUAAGGCGGUUCUCUAGUACGGUACUGACGCUGAGACGCGAAAGCGUGGGGAGCGAACAGG
rnacentral:rRNA from 1 species